rnacentral:lncRNA from 1 species
UGAACCCUAAUAUGCGAUUGUAAAUGAAUCGUCUGCAACGUGAAGAUGACUCUCAUCUUCCCCCUAACCUGUUUUCAAUUCUUACCUCAAUCGACCAGAUCUGAGAUGGAUAGAUUGUUUAAAAAAUCUAUACAUCUACACAUACGAGAGAGAGGGAGAGACAAGAUCCAGGGGAGAUGAUGACACGAUUCAAUGGCGGUUGAAGAAGAUCCAACGGUGGCGAUGGUGGUUUCAAGGUCAAAGCUUUGUUUUCAGGUGAUCCUGCUACUACAAUGAAGAUGAUGUCGAAAUUAGUGGCUGAAGAUUCCGAGCUGAUGCCUUCAAAACGGUUCAAGGAAGCUGAUGGGUUGCAUGAAAUAUAACAGUAUUGAUUUCAGUAAAGAGGAAGCUGGGAAACUAAUUUGACGUAAUUUGUUAAAAGAUGUAGCUUUUGGUGUUUUUUGUGCAGAAUAUUAAGGUAUGAUACAGAUACACUACAUCUUAUACAUAUUGCUCUGCUAUUUUGUAAAUUCUCAGUGUCUCCAUUUAGUUUAUGAGAUUGUUAGUUGAGUUUAUAUGUAUAUAUGUAAUAUUGGGUUUAAAACUCUUCAUUUUCUUGAGUUUGCUACAUAUGUAAAGGCGUCAAACCUCAGAGAUACACUUGAAAUCCAUGAAGGGAGUAUAAAUCCAUCAAAUGGUACCUGCAUUGCACUCGGUUUGGGUUAGAUUUGACUCCUAGGGUUCCGGUCGAGACUUCCAGAGAUUUCGACAUCUUUUCUGUUGUGAGAGCGUUAGUUGAGUCGAGAGUCAAUCUCAAGACGAGCGAGUCGAUUUUACUUAAGUUCGAAGGGAUCACCAGGUCUGGUAGUUAUUUUUCUCUAGCCAAUGCAACAAGGGUUGUAGCUGAAGUAGUCGUGGCGGCAACAAAUGCAGCCGCCGAGCCUGCUAGGCUUAUAAGGUCAUCUAAAGAGCUUGAAGGGACAAUUCGAACCACAUCAGAAUGAGCCAACUGGAAUGUAUAAACCUUUGGUGCCUAAUGACAAAAUGCUAGAAAUUGACACGUGGCCAUGAUGGCAUAAUGGGUCUUGCCAAAGCUCUCAUCCCCUAACUAAGCUUUUCAGGAGCAUGGUACUAUCAUGUGACGGUGAACAUAGGGAAUCCACCGAAACCUUAUUGGCUGGACAUUGACACUGGCAGUGAUCUCACUUGGCUUCAAUAUCAUGUGACGGUGAACAUAGGGAAUCCACCGAAACCUUCUCGGUAUAACAUGUAGAUGAAGGUCAUGUAUUAUCUUGGGGUUAUGGUGGACAUGGACAGUUGGGACACUUUUCUACGCAAAACCAGCCCGUUCCCACAGUUAUUGAGUCUCUAGCUUCGGAGAAAGUUGUUUAUAUUGCUUGUGGAGGAUCUUCAUCAGCUGCUAUAACUGGUGAAGAUGGACCUAACCCGGAUGGCGAUCAAGCAAAUACCAAGAACCAAACGCACUAAAUGAAGCUUCCGCAUUUUGUCUAUUUUGUUUUACAAAUAUGUAAACGCUUGAAACUAAGUUUUAAAGGUUAUCUAGUAGUAUGAUGACUUGAAUAUUAUGACCUUGUAAGGUUUUAAAACCAUGAAAGUUUUAUUUUU